GCCAGGGAUGGUAGUGCACGCCUGUAAUCCCAGUGGCUCAGGAGGCUGAGGCAGGAGGAUUGCAAGUUCAAAAGCAGCCUCAGCAACUUAGUGAGGCCCUAAGCAACCCAGUGAGACCCUGCCUCUA
rnacentral:sRNA from 1 species